UACAGAGGUCUCAAGCGUUGUUCGGAUUCAUUGGGCGUAAAGGGCUCGUAGGUGGCCAACUAAGUCAGACGUGAAAUCCCUCAGCUUAACUGGGGAACUGCGUCUGAUACUGGAUGGCUUGAGUUUGGGAGAGGGAUGCGGAAUUCCAGGUGUAGCGGUGAAAUGCGCAGAUAUCGGGAAGAACACCCGUGGCGAAGGCGGUUCUCUGGGACGGUACUGACGCUGAGGUGCGAAAGCGUGGGGAGCAAACAGG
rnacentral:rRNA from 1 species